rnacentral:lncRNA from 1 species
CCUGAAACCAUUGAUGAUAUUAGAAAUAUGUAAUUGAUUAGUAAAAGUAACAAAAUAUACUGAAAUAAUUAAAUAUACAAUGUGGGGACUUUAUAUGCUAUUUUAAUAAAACUUACAUAUAGUUAGGACAUUUAGAGCUUACUUUUUUUUCCCAUAUAAUAUCCUAUCUUAAAAAUUUUUCUUUAGAACAUCAAAACAGAAUCUCUAGUAUCACUGAUAUGGAUUUCAGAAAUAUUCCAAAUGGUGUGAGAUCAAACAGCAUAGUGAUACCCAUGUUCCAGUAAAAGCUUAGGAGAAAAAGAAUGUUUGCGGGUUUUCUUUUGUGGAGAAAAUUGUAGACAUUUCCAAGUUAACACAUCUGAAGUUUCUGGUUCGACAUCUGUGUUGCCAUCCUAAAAGCACGUGUGAAAUUUUACAACAAUCCUACCUAGAUUCACGUUAGCCAAAAAUCUUUGGCUAAACAGACACCCCGAGAUUUCAUAAAGUGUGUUAUAGUCAGAAUUGGUGGUAAUUAAUCUACAAAUCUGCAAAAUAGUGUUCAUAGUUUUUCUUUUUAUUUUGAUCUUGGUGAAAAACUUGCAGUAACUCACCAUUACAGAGCGACAAGAACUGUGACGCAUGUUUUAUGAUUUACAUAGCUGAUGUGGUGUAUUAUCGAUAUCCAUAAUCUGUCAUAUUUAGACACAUUCAUUGUGACACAUAUAACAUGUGCAUUCUUUUUAUCUUUUUCUCAAGUGGGUCUAUAGUUGUGAUUUCACAGCAGAUUGGGGUUGUUGGCCAUUGUUUGAAGCUCUCCUACUCUCUUUCUAGCAUAGUCAGUGUGUUGCAGAGAACUAAAGGGAGUAAAAGACACAGUGCCUCAUUGAAUCCUAACAUUUUCUUCCUGGUAGGGCAUAUAUCCCACCUUCCAUAUAUCCUGCUGUGAGGUGCCAAUAAUGUUCUUUUGUUCCAAAACAGAACAUUACUUAGAACUUUCUAAAAUAUGAUAGAACAUGAAUGUUUACAAUACAGCAUGUCAGCUAUGUAAACUGUAAA